rnacentral:lncRNA from 1 species
AAAUACCCUAAUACAUAACAGAAACAAAAGCAAGUCACUAAACUUGACUGCAAAUAUAAUACGAUGACACUUAAUAGAAACAUUGUAAUAAAAUUGAAAAGAAGUAGACAAGAAUAACCACUCAUAAAACUAAAAUACCCAGCCUAUAACUAUUUUUCAAAUAGUUGGCAUAGUGCUUACUAUGAACCAUAAUCGCAUAUGAUAUAACCAAUAUUGAGCACUUAAUAUAGCCCAAUAUUAUAUAGACCCAAAUAUGAAAUAGUCACAAACAAUAGUGCAAUACAAUACGUUUAUAAAACAACGUCAAAAGUUUUAUAACGAAAAUAUAUUUCUUUAUAAUGAGCACUUUCGAACAACUACAUUUAAUAUAAAAUAGCGCGGGAAGUCUUCGGCGUGGUGAAAGUAUAAGGUGUAAGCACAGCUGAGAAGAAAGGAAUUUACAAAAUCGAAGGAAGAAGUGAAAGAAGGAGUGAAAAAACAUCUAAGCGCGGAAAAGUGCUACAAAAUGGGCAGGCGACAGUUCUGCGCAAUUUUCUCGGGCUUUUCUCUUUCGGUCUUGACGUUUUUAUCGCUUUUCUGCGCCUUUCGCCUUCGAUCUUCUGCCCGUCAAGUGUGUCCGAAAAUAGCAAGAAGCUGACAUCCUAAAGGAAACCUUGUUGGCCAAUUGGGGAGGAGGCCCAGAAGGUCGGGCCGAUUUUCCGCUGCAACCGACGAAGGUCUGACCAACCAAUCGCAACGCACAGCGGCGACGAAGCCCGGCCGAAUGGGAGCAUCUCGGGCAAACGGAGGGACAGUCAGCCGCCCUGCAAUGCAUUUCUUUUGGCAACGAGUCAAGCGGCCUUUCACACACACACACACACACAUUAGGAUUCCAUAAGGAUACUCUGCCUCGCUCACAUGCGCAUCGAGUGGUAUACGUAAUAUAUCAAGUAUACGCCUGUUGGCCGGGCAGAAAGUCUGUGAGUGUGUGCGAAUGGCCAAACAGAGUGUUGCCAACUGCAUUGCCGGGCUGCCAACGACUCAACCCCCGACCCGAGGACACCACCCUCCUCCCGGCCAGGAGGCCAACGACGAGUCCUUUUUGGAGGCAGCGCAUUGGCUGCAGGACGACCGGCGACAGGACGACCAAUCACCAAUCAAAUCGCGGCUUGUGCGCACUAUCACGGCCGUACGAAGGGCCAAAGGCACGGCAUCCAGGACCUCAGCCGGAGACCCCAAGCCGAUUGUCAAUCUCUUAGACAUAUUAUUAUGCCAACGUCUCCUAUAUUAUAGUUCUCUAGUCGUAAGUCACAUGCCCAAGCCAUCGCCCCAGAACAUCGGGGACAUGAAACAUUAGUUUUAUUGAUAGAGUUCUUAGUUUCGAGCAGAAGCUAUACGAUGAUGAUUUCAAGAAUGAGAAAACGGAAUAAAAACUGUAAAGCUUCAGAGCGGAAC